CCUACGGGGGGCUGCAGUCGAGGAUCUUCGGCAAUGGGCGCAAGCCUGACCGAGCGACGCCGCGUGUGCGAUGAAGGCCUUCGGGUUGUAAAGCACUGUCGAGGGGGAGGAAAGCCGCAAGGUCUGACCUAUCCCUGGAGGAAGCACGGGCUAAGUUCGUGCCAGCAGCCGCGGUAAGACGAACCGUGCGAACGUUGUUCGGAAUCACUGGGCUUAAAGGGCGCGUAGGCGGUUGAUCAAGUCUGGGGUGAAAUCUUUCGGCUUAACCGGAAAAGUGCCUUGGAUACUGAUCAGCUGGAGGGAGGUAGGGGCAGCUGGAACUUCCAGUGGAGCGGUGAAAUGCGUUGAUAUUGGAAGGAACGCCGGUGGCGAAAGCGAGCUGCUGGACCUCUUCUGACGCUGAGGCGCGAAAGCUAGGGGAGCAAACGGGAUUAGAUACCCUAGUAGUC
rnacentral:rRNA from 1 species